AUGCGGAUGCUGCGCACCUUGUAUUUUCUGUGUAUGGUAACACUAUCUGCGGGAUUGCCCAUGGGCACAGUUAUUCGGUAUGAGUACAAUAGUGUGUUCGGCGAGGAAGAGACAUUUCAAGAGAGAAUCUUCAUUAACGGAUCCCCCGUCACACCCAAUGGCAAUGGAGAUGUUCGUACUGGAGUAAUCGACGUAAUGUCCUUCAACAAUGGCAGUUCAUCUCUACACGAUUCUCUCAGGGUUUUUGCAAAUAGUUUCAACAAAACAAAAAAAGACCACACUUACCAGCGUCUUCGAGAGUGCAAAUUUAAUGGACACCAAGUGAUGCAUAUAUCUGACCGGAUCAAGCACAAUGGGAAAGAUUAUUUGUCUCUGGACCAAACGACAGACACCUGGGUGGCCUUGGACCCGCAGGCCGUUUUCCUGAAAAAGGAGUUGGACCGCGACAGUGAACGCACAGUGCGUGACAGGAUGUGUUUUCAGGAGGCCUGUACGGAGUUGAUGAAGGACCUAAACCACUCGUACUCUGCAUCCAAAGGGGGUAAUGUUGUUCACAACGAUUCUUGUAUUAUAGCCCUCAUAGGUUGCUCAGUGACAGGCAGUUGACCUCGAAAUGCACCUGAUACUGUAAACAUUAACUUGUUUUAACUGUGUAGACUUCUUCACCCAUGUUAAGUAGUGUUCUAAAGACAAGUGGUGUUAAAAACCUGAAUAUGUGAAACAUGCUCUUUUUGCAACAUAUUUAGUUUACCGUAGCUCGCUGUGGUUGCAUAACAACUGCACAUGACACAAGAGGGCUAUUUAAAUGUAAUGAAAAUGCCACCUGCAGGGGAUGUUUAUGAAUGCAAAUUUAUGUUUUUAUUGUUUCAGGUUCAGCUACAGUUUUAGCCCCACUCCUGGCAGUACUUAUAUUAUUUGGUCUGGUCAUUCUCAGCGUUAUGUCUAAACACAGUAAGUACAUAGAUACUUUUUUUUGUGUGUGCAAAAUGUUGUGUUUGACAACUCUCACUCUCGCUCUCUUUCUGUGUGUGUUUGUGUGUGUGUCUGUGUGUGUGUGUGUGUGUGUGUGUGUGUGUGUGUCAUAAGAUGUCAAAGGUUCUGCUUCACCAGCAGGUAAGAAGUCUGUUGUACCUUCUCUGAAUGUGUAAAGAUUUACAGAAUGUUGAAGAUUAGCUAACUUUUGUAAUUUUAAAGAAACAUUAUGCAACUAUUUUACCUCAAAAUAAUAGCUUCAAAAUCAUUUUGGUGGUACAAUGACUUGUAAUACAGAAAAUGGAACCGGUGCCAAUUGCACUAUGUAACUUUGGGGCACAGGGCACGACACCUCUCCAGGAACUACGUAAUGCUUUAAAGCACCACCUCACACAACAACAACAACUAGACCCAUAGCUAAAAGAGGAGGCUAGGGCAGUUUUUAUUAUUAUUAUCAUAUUGGCAGAGGCAAUCAUAAAAGGCAUCAUAAAGACAUCAUAGAAACAUGAUCAUUAAAGGCAUCAUAAAAACAUGAUAAUUUUCCAUAAUCCUGUUCAUUUCAUUGAAAAUAAUUUUAUUUUAAUCACUUCUAUUUUGUUUGUGUUUCUGUGUAUUGGAGGAAUGUAAACACAACUUUAAAGAACACUUAACACAAAUACACCAUGAUGCAUUGAAUAUCAUGCACUGGAAUAUUGAUUCAUAUGUUCUAAUUUUUCAGACUUUUACAUCACUACAUAAUUAGGCUGUUACCGUUUUUAAAAGCAUUUUAAUUUUUUGACAACAUAAACUACACAUUACACAUUGUGUGUCCUUUACCGCAAGAUUCAUUAAUCUUUUAUUAUUAUUAGGUAGUUGUUAAUUUGUGUACAUACUAUUUUGCUUUAUGGGUGUAGCUCAUGGUUUAUGACUUGCUGUGUUUCUCUCACAGGGGUUCUGGGUUCAAUAGUCCACUAUCCAGCUCAAACCUCAGACACUGUCAAGGAACCAGCUAUACAACCUUCCCUCUCCAUCAAAGCAUCCUUACUGAGCAAUAUGCCUUGAUUCCAGUAUGUGUAGGCAGAAUUUGAUGUAAGUUCCAGUCAUUCAUAGAAAUCCUGUGAGGCUCUGCUGAUACAUCCUGGUUUCCUACCUCUAGUGCCUCUGUAGUGAUUUUUUUUUGUGUUAUGAUUUAUAUACAUAGCUUAUGGAAGCUGAAUUGCACUGCUAAGAUGUAUGUGGAAAUACACUUAUAACUUACAGAAAGGUUUUAUUCGAUUUGUUGCUUGAUGCUUGUGCUCCUGCCACAGCUACUCAUUACUGGCACUACUGAGUUCAUUAACUUAACAAAACUAACCAGGGAGGUUGAAAAUAAGUAUUGCACAAUUUGGUACUCCCUGAGAUGUUUAAUUCAAUACCUGUGGAUAGCUCAGAGCAAACAAAAUGCUCUGACAGCCAAAAAUUCUGUUUUAGAUAUGUACAAAUGGUAUUCUUAUUUCAGACCACUUUAUGUUUAAUAAAACAUAGAAAUGUUAUAGGGUUUAAUUGUUC
rnacentral:lncRNA from 1 species